rfam:Myotis davidii contig65727, whole genome shotgun sequence.
GGCAGUUCUCAGGUGACGCAGCCUGGAAUGGGGCUCCCUCCUCUCUGGUUCCAGCUGCGUCACCCGAGAACUCCA